AUUUAUAUAGUAUAAAUUAUUAUUUUUGACUUCCAAUCAAAGGAUCUAUAAUAUAGUAUAAAUA
rnacentral:tRNA from 1 species